CCUACGGGAGGCAGCAGUGAGGAAUAUUGGUCAAUGGGCGAGAGCCUGAACCAGCCAAGUAGCGUGCAGGAUGACGGCCCUAUGGGUUGUAAACUGCUUUUAUACAGGGAUAAAGUGACGUACGUGUACGUUUUUGUAGGUACUGUAUGAAUAAGGACCGGCUAAUUCCGUGCCAGCAGCCGCGGUAAU
rnacentral:rRNA from 1 species